UUUCCGUAGGUGAACCUGCGGAAGGAUCAUUAAAAAAUUGGACUCCAUUGGUGAGUUUCAUUAAUAAUCCUACCCUUUGUGAAUUUGUUUGUUUGAAUAAUUUUUUUUUCCAAAAAAAAUUAUUGAAUGUCUUUCCCUGUUUUGGUGGAGCUUGUAAAGUGAAACCAGGCAGGGGAAUGGCAAACAAUAAUUAUUUUUGAAAAAGACCUUUUUUAAAAUUAAACUUUUUGUAUUCAUUUGUCUAAAAUUAUUUUUAUAAUAUAAAAACAACUUUUGACAAUGGAUCUCUUGGUUCUCGCAACGAUGAAGAACGCAGCAAAAUGCGAUAAGUAGUGUGAAUUGCAGAAUACGUGAAUCAUCGAAUCUUCGAACGCAUAUUGCACUUUUUUAGUUUACUAAAAAAGUAUGUCUGUUUGAGUAUCAGUAAAAUAUUCUCAUAAAAAAUUUAUUUUUUAUGGUUAUGAGUGUUUUACAACGAUAACAAGUUGUUUCACUUUAAUUCUUUGUUAUCAAAAAAAUCAUUAAAAGCUAAUUUUAAAGAUUUUUUAAAAUUGGAUAAAAUUUUCCCGUAAAAAGGAAUAACCUAAACAAUUUUAAAAAAUUAAAAUUGGUUUGAUUUUUCUUGAUUUAAAAAGGAAAAAAAAGUAAAAAUUAACUUGAUCUCAAAUCAGAUAAGAGUACCCGCUGAACUUAAGCAUAUCAAUAAGCGGAGGAAAAGAAACUAACUAGGAUUCCCUCAGUAACGGCGAGUGAAGCGGGAAGAGCUCAAAUUUGAAAUCUUCAAGGUUUUACCUUGACGAAUUGUAGUUUAAAGAAGUGUUUUCUGUUGGAGUUUUGGUAAAAGUUCUUUGGAAAAGGACAUCAUAGAGGGUGAGAAUCCCGUAUUUGACCAUUAUCUCCAGCUUUGUGAUACACUUUCAAAGAGUCGGAUUGUUUGGGAAUGCAGUCCAAAAUGGGUGGUAAAUUUCAUCUAAAGCUAAAUAUUGGCGAGAGACCGAUAGCGAACAAGUACCGUGAGGGAAAGAUGAAAAGAACUUUGAAAAGAGAGUUAAACAGUACGUGAAAUUGUCAAAAGGGAAGCGUUUGACACCAGUGUUGUUUUUCUCGAAAAUCAAUUAAAAAAAGUUGGAUUUUGUGUUGUAUUGACUUAACAGCUUGCUUCACUUUUUCUUGUCUUUUUUAAUGCACUUUUCGUUUAACAAGUCAACAUCAGUUUCUUUUGUUGUAAAAGGGUCAUUGGAAGGUGGCUUUCUCUUUCGGAGAAAGUGUUUUAUAGCCUUUGAUCUCUGCAAAUCGGAGAGACUGAGGUCUGCAGCGUAGAUCCUUCGGGGUUAGAUACAUUUGUGCUAAGCUACAGCUUUUCAUAGACAACUUGUUGACUAUGUUUAGUCUUGUAACUUACCCGCUUAUGCUAUUUUACCUACGCUUAGGAUGUUG
rnacentral:misc_RNA from 1 species